GCCAGGUACCACAAAUACCAUUUAGAAAUAUAACAAACUGGUAGCCACUAGGAAGUAUUCUUAGUGAGGAUGAGGAUCGAGACAUCACAACCAUAGUACAUGGUACACAUUGUAAAAUGUCAUAUCCGUUCAGUUGCAACAAUUUGUAUAGGGUAUACUUUGGAAUGUUUUGCAAUUCUGG